rnacentral:misc_RNA from 1 species
UGGUUCUGGCUCUUGGAGACGACGUUUACUGAAGGUUUAACAUCAGACUUUGGCUGCAGGUUGUUAUUUGCAGACAUAACUUCUAAGGGUCCGGAACAGUGGGUCAUUUCAUCCCGUGCACCUGUGAUUCGACCAUUCAUAUUUGGCUGAACUACACUAUGACAGUUAUUAGUGGAAACCGAGGUGGACCAUGAUGGGACAUCAUCAAUUACCACAGACUGCCCUCCCCCUGCAGUUCCUGUUAAAUUACUGCCAUUUGCGGAAAGCUGAUAAGACGUUCGGGGUAGAGGGUAGUUAACUGGUCCAGAUAGGUCUGACAGGUUACCAGAUUGCUGCUGCUGAAGCUUUGGUUGCUGAGUUGGCUGGGAAAACCGAAGAUUGGACGGACUAUUUAUUCUCGUCAUUUGCUGCUGAACAACUUGCGAGUGAGGAAGUGAAGUGGACGUGGUUUGAGACACAUCCAACAUUUG